AUGCACAGUGUCACCGGCCACUACAACAUCCUCUUCUCGAUGUCGCGAAUCAGACGGUGCAUCCAUAAAACACGAAAAAGAAGCAAAGCAUCGAAACGAGAGCCACGGAUUCCAACGCCGUCACGAUUCCCCAUAGAAAUUCAUCAACGAUGGAAUUGGAGAUGCUCGUCAGCUCCGACCACCGCGUCACCGGCAUCUUCGAUCUUGCCCAACAGAAUAACGUUGCCAUCGAUGACAACACUGUUUCCGAUCAAAAUCGCUUUUGCUUUCGUUUCUGUUGUGUUUUACAAUAGUGAUGGAACUCAGCUAUUUAUUUCAAGAUUUGAAGAUUUUAAUCACGGUGGGGUCUAG